AGUCGAGCGAGCGGAACUAAAGAUUUACUUCGGUAAUGACGUUAGGAAAGCGAGCGGCGGAUGGGUGAGUAACACGUGGGGAAUCUGCCCCAUAGUCUGGGAUACCACUUGGAAACAGGUGCUAAUACCGGAUAAGAAAGCAGAUCGCAUGAUCAGCUUUUAAAAGGCGGCGUAAGCUGUCGCUAUGGGAUGGCCCCGCGGUGCAUUAGCUAGUUGGUAAGGUAAAGGCUUACCAAGGCGAUGAUGCAUAGCCGAGUUGAGAGACUGAUCGGCCACAUUGGGACUGAGACACGGCCCAAACUCCUACGGGAGGCAGCAGUAGGGAAUCUUCCACAAUGGACGCAAGUCUGAUGGAGCAACGCCGCGUGAGUGAAGAAGGUUUUCGGAUCGUAAAGCUCUGUUGUUGGUGAAGAAGGAUAGAGGUAGUAACUGGCCUUUAUUUGACGGUAAUCAACCAGAAAGUCACGGCUAACUACGUGCCAGCAGCCGCGGUAAUACGUAGGUGGCAAGCGUUGUCCGGAUUUAUUGGGCGUAAAGCGAGCGCAGGCGGAAGAAUAAGUCUGAUGUGAAAGCCCUCGGCUUAACCGAGGAACUGCAUCGGAAACUGUUUUUCUUGAGUGCAGAAGAGGAGAGUGGAACUCCAUGUGUAGCGGUGGAAUGCGUAGAUAUAUGGAAGAACACCAGUGGCGAAGGCGGCUCUCUGGUCUGCAACUGACGCUGAGGCUCGAAAGCAUGGGUAGCGAACAGGAUUAGAUACCCUGGUAGUCCAUGCCGUANACGAUGAGUGCUAAGUGUUGGGAGGUUUCCGCCUCUCAGUGCUGCAGCUAACGCAUUAAGCACUCCGCCU
rnacentral:rRNA from 1 species